GAUGAACGCUGGCGGCGUGCCUAAUACAUGCAAGUCGAGCGAACAGACGAGGAGCUUGCUCCUCUGACGUUAGCGGCGGACGGGUGAGUAACACGUGGAUAACCUACCUAUAAGACUGGGAUAACUUCGGGAAACCGGAGCUAAUACCGGAUAAUAUAUUGAACCGCAUGGUUCGAUAGUGAAAGACGGUUUUGCUGUCACUUAUAGAUGGAUCCGCGCCGCAUUAGCUAGUUGGUAAGGUAACGGCUUACCAAGGCAACGAUGCGUAGCCGACCUGAGAGGGUGAUCGGCCACACUGGAACUGAGACACGGUCCAGACUCCUACGGGAGGCAGCAGUAGGGAAUCUUCCGCAAUGGGCGAAAGCCUGACGGAGCAACGCCGCGUGAGUGAUGAAGGUCUUCGGAUCGUAAAACUCUGUUAUUAGGGAAGAACAAAUGUGGAAGUAACUAUGCACGUCUUGACGGUACCUAAUCAGAAAGCCACGGCUAACUACGUG
rnacentral:rRNA from 1 species